rnacentral:rRNA from 1 species
GAUGAACGCUGGCGGCGUGCCUAAUACAUGCAAGUCGAGCGAACAGACGAGGAGCUUGCUCCUCUGACGUUAGCGGCGGACGGGUGAGUAACACGUGGAUAACCUACCUAUAAGACUGGGAUAACUUCGGGAAACCGGAGCUAAUACGGGAUAAUAUAUUGAACCGCAUGGUUCAAUAGUGAAAGACGGCUUUGCUGUCACUUAUAGAUGGAUCCGCGCCGCAUUAGCUAGUUGGUAAGGUAACGGCUUACCAAGGCAACGAUGCGUAGCCGACCUGAGAGGGUGAUCGGCCACACUGGAACUGAGACACGGUCCAGACUCCUACGGGAGGCAGCAGUAGGGAAUCUUCCGCAAUGGGCGAAAGCUUGACGGAGCAACGCCGCGUGAGUGAUGAAGGUCUUCGGAUCGUAAAACUCUGUUAUUAGGGAAGAACAAAUGUGUAAGUAACUAUGCACGUCUUGACGGUACCUAAUCAGAAAGCCACGGCUAACUACGUG